rnacentral:piRNA from 1 species
UGAAAGAAUUUACUUAGAACAAAGGUCCCU